rnacentral:lncRNA from 1 species
GAGGGCCCCAGUGCAUGCUGAGUGGAGGCAAGGGCAGAACAGCAUCUUCUCCAACCCGCAGCUAAACUCCGUAAGAAUUUACCAAGGGCAGGCUGUUUCCUCAGUACGUUGCCUGAUACAACUAAGUGGAUGCUUGCCCUAACCCUGUGAAAGAACUGCUGCUCCCACUUCACGGAUGAUGAGCAGGGAGGACAGCAUCGUAAGGGUGGGAUGAGAUGAAAGACCUAGAGAUGGGGAGACACUCCAGAUGGAUCCUGAAUAUCCACCACAAUCCUUAAAAGAGAGAUGCUGGAGGGUCAGAAGUGGACAGAAGGUGAUGAGAGGAUGACAGCAGGGCCUGGAGUGAUACAUGUUGAAGAGGAAGGAAGGGGCCAUGAGCCAAUGGAUGCAGGUGGCUGCUACAGCCUGGCAGAGGCCUACCUGGAAACAAAGUCUACCCUGGAUCCUCCAGCAGGAAGCAGCCCUGUGAACACCCUGAUUGUAACCCAGUGAAGCUGAUUUGGUACUUCCAGCUGCCGGAGCUGUAAGGAAAUGAACUGUGUUGCUUCAAGCCACUGUGUUUGUGCUCAUGUGUUAUGGUAGCAAAAGGAAACUCAUACAACCUAUCAACUUUUCUCCUUUCCCAUUGCCCCUCCCUGGCUUUAUUUCCAACGCACUGCAACUUCCUCCUAAGGGUCUCCUGCCUCCAGCUUUGCCUCCUCUGAGGCUUCCUCCAUGAGACCACCAAAGUGCUUGCCCCUCAUUCACAUCCUUGGGGGCUCUUCCAUUUGGAGGAGAAGAGAACACCAGGCCUGUCCUCAGCUCAGCUUUUAGACUUGGCCCUGCCCACCUCUCUCUACUUCAGACUUCCAGCUGCCAGAUUUCUAAACGCAUUCCAUGGUUUAAUAUACCUACAUUUCUGUUCUUUCCUGCAAGAAUAGGUUCCCUUUGCUUUUUUUUUUCCUACUGAACUAUUGUCCGUACAGCAAAACCCAAUACAGACAUAACUUCCUCCACGAAGCCUUUUCCAACUCUUUUUCUCCUCGUGGAGUUAAUGACAGAUUUCUCUGACCUCACUCAAUCUUGAUUCUUUGAUUCCAUUGUUG